AUCGCUUCUCGGCCUUUUGGCUAAGAUCAAGUGUAGUAUCUGUUCUUAUCAGUUUAAUAUCUGAUACGUCCUCUAUCCGAGGACAAUAUAUUAAAUGGAUUUUUGGAACUAGGAGUUGGAAUAGGAGCUUGCUCCGUCCACUCCACGCAUCGACCUGGUAUUGCAGAAAAGAAAAAGCUGUAUGCUAGAAAC
ensembl:snRNA LOC120102751 U2 spliceosomal RNA